AAGUCGUAACAAGGUUUCCGUAGGUGAACCUGCGGAAGGAUCAUCAAUGAGGCAUAAAAACUUUGACGGUUAUGUCAAACAGCCCAAACGAUAUCAGCACACACACACACACACAUUCAGGACAAGUUUGGUGGGAAUUCUUGCCUGAAGUAUAUAAAAAAAAAAAAACCAACCAACAAAAACAACUUUCGGCAACGGAUCUCUCGGCUCUCCC
rnacentral:misc_RNA from 1 species